rnacentral:lncRNA from 1 species
UUUGAUUUGAGGGUUUCUGUUUUUUUCGCUUUCUGUUUUGUUUUAUUUCUCUAAUAUCUUACAGCCAAUGUAUCAAUUUGCAUCGGGAGAUCCGUUGCAGUUAAAAGAGCUGCUGAAUAUAAAAAUUUUUUCUACACUGAGGAUAAGGAUGUAAGGGAUUCAAACUUUUUUUCUCAGGGAUUGUCAUUAGUAGCUAAAAUUUUCAUUUUUAUUGUGGUGUCGAUGUAAUUUAGGUGAUUGAAGCUCCUCUACCAAAGGGCACCAUUAGAUAAUGCAGUUGUUGUUCAUUGGUUAGCUAUUAGAGGAGUUCAACCCACUAUUCCAGAAAAUCCUCCUCCCGAAGGUACUCGAGCACAAUGAUAGAGUCUAAAAUAUGUACAACAAAAGCAGAUGUGUAUAUCUACGAAUGAUAGAAUAAUCCUUUUCCCCCAUCUCUAGAUACAGUUAGUUUUUUGGCCGUGCCGUUGAAUUAAACCGACUAUGAUGGCUUUAUGUUCAAUUCAUAAGGGAUUCGUGUGUUAUUCACUCUACCCAUGUCAUAAAAAUGAUAUACCUUUUGUUUGUCGCGGUAAUCACUGUUCCUUAUGAUAAUGGAAAGACUGCGUACAAAGAAGAUUGAAUUCUUGUUGACAUCAAAUUACUUGUAAAGCAUGUACUUUCUUGUGAGCUUCACGUGCAGCUGCGGCCUUGUGUGCAAAUCUAUGUGAUUCCAAUCAAGGAAAAAUUGACACCAUUGGUUUUCUGAUUUGUGCCUCAGCUAAAGACUUUGGGAAAGUCACAGAUAUUACAGUUAGUAGAUCUGAUCCUGCCCUCUUUAAAGAAGCCCUUGUGAGCUUGGAUACCGACUCAGGGAUCCAUCCUUCAGUUCCUCACUUUACAUUUUUUGUUGUUGAUAUGGUAAUUAUAAGUCAUUUCUUGUCCAAACUGUAUCAACAUUAUAGGGCAAGGGCUCAGGAUCUGAUAUUAUGUAAGUUUCUUAUCAUCUCAAUAAUUUUUCUCUCCUUUUUGCUUUGAUACGUUUUGUUUGGAUCCUUCUUCAAAAUCUACAAAUACACAUCGAGCCCCAUGUAAGUUUAUGGUUACAUUUUUUUCCCCAUCUCAUUGAGGAUUAAGGUGGGAAAAACACAAG